UGCCGGGUAGUGUAAUUGGCAACACAGCGGCCUUUGGAGCCGCUCUUCCAGGUUCGAGUCCUGGCCCGGCAGCCA
rnacentral:tRNA from 1 species